UAGGGAAUCUUCGGCAAUGGGGGGAACCCUGACCGAGCAACGCCGCGUGAGUGAAGAAGGUUUUCGGAUCGUAAAGCUCUGUUGUUAAGGAAGAACGAGUGUGAGAAUGGAAAGUUCAUACUGUGACGGUACUUAACCAGAAAGGGACGGCUAACUACGUGCCAGCAGCCGCGGUAAUACGUAGGUCCCGAGCGUUGUCCGGAUUUAUUGGGCGUAAAGCGAGCGCAGGCGGUUAGAUAAGUCUGAAGUUAAAGGCAGUGGCUCAACCAUUGUAGGCUUUGGAAACUGUUUAACUUGAGUGCAGAAGGGGAGAGUGGAAUUCCAUGUGUAGCGGUGAAAUGCGUAGAUAUAUGGCGGAACACCGGUGGCGAAAGCGGCUCUCUGGUCUGUAACUGACGCUGAGGCUCGAAAGCGUGGGGAGCGAACAGG
rnacentral:rRNA from 1 species